AGAGUUUGAUUCUGGCUCAGGGUGAACGCUGGCGGCGUGCCUAACACAUGCAAGUCGAGCGAAGCUGCUAGACAGAUCCCUUCGGGGUGACGUCUAGUAGACUGAGCGGCGGACGGGUGCGUAACGCGUAGGUGACCUGCCCCUCAGAGGGGGAUAACUGGGAGAAAUCCCAGCUAAUACCCCAUACGUUCCGUACUGUAAGUGGUACGGAAGAAAGGGAGCAAAUGCUCUGCUGAGGGAGGGGCCUGCGUCCCAUCAGGUAGUUGGUGAGGUAACGGCUCACCAAGCCUACGACGGGUAGCCGGUCUGAGAGGAUGGCCGGCCACAAGGGCACUGAGACACGGGCCCUACUCCUACGGGAGGCAGCAGUGGGGGAUUUUGGACAAUGGGCGAAAGCCUGAUCCAGCGACGCCGCGUGCGGGAUGAAGCCCUUCGGGGUGUAAACCGCUGUGGUGGGAGACGAAUAAGGUAAGGAGUGGAAAGCCUUACCGAUGAUGGUAUCCCACUAGAAAGCCCCGGCUAACUACGUGCCAGCAGCCGCGGUAAUACGUAGGGGGCAAGCGUUACCCGGAUUCACUGGGCGUAAAGGGGGCGUAGGCGGCCGUGUAAGUCCGGUGUGAGAUGCCACGGCUCAACCGUGGAACUGCGCUGGAAACUACACGGCUUGAGGACGGUAGAGGGAGACGGAACUGCUGGUGUAGGGGUGAAAUCCGUAGAUAUCAGCAGGAACGCCGGUGGGGAAGCCGGUCUCCUGGGCCGUUCCUGACGCUGAGGCCCGAAAGCUAGGGGAGCAAACCGGAUUAGAUACCCGGGUAGUCCUAGCCGUAAACGAUGCCCACUAGGUGUGGGGGAAUAAUUCCUCCGUGCUGUAGCUAACGCGUUAAGUGGGCCGCCUGGGGAGUAUGCCCGCAAGGGUGAAACUCAAAGGAAUUGACGGGG
rnacentral:rRNA from 1 species